UUUCUCUGAUCAUUUCUCUCUCUCGACCUCACCAACUCUUUCGCUCUCUCCAUCUCCAUCAUGGCAAAGCUCUCUGAUUCCCGCAAUUCCAACCGUUCCGAUCGCCGGAACAAAUACCUGAAGCCGAAUCUGGGUGGCCGGAAAUCGGGUCCUCGGAAAUUGGCGACUCUAUUCCAGGGUUUGGGGCUCCAAGACAAAACCCCUUCUUCUUUCAUGUUGUCGCCUACGUCAGCAAAGAGCCCUAGCCCUAACCCUAGAUCUGGAAUCCCGAGCGCACCUCCUACUCCCAAUGCACCGGCGAGGCAUGGUCUCCGGCCACCGUCUCGCCUCCGGGGCUCGGAUAUGCGGCAGGCUUUUCACCGAUGAAUGCAGAAUGCACAAGCAGUGUGGCAACCGCUGCCCUCUCUGUUGUGCUAGGUGUACUAGCUGCUAUAUAUUGAUUAUCGUUUCAAAGGAUGCAGGCAUCCACGACAAUUUGGGCUGCUUUCUGACCUACAUGUGACUCUGUGAGUUUUAUUCCUCCUUUUCUAUGAUUUUUAAUGGUUUCUUGCUUUUCAACUUGAAAUCCAUUAAUGUGUUCUGCAUUUUGGGUAAUGUUGUUCAUGUGGAAGCCUAGGAUAAUAUUUGGAUAAGGUUAUGGUUACUAUGAAACCAAUAAGGCUGUGAAUGCAAAACUUGCUAGAAAUGUUGUGCAGCUUAGUUGGAGUUUUGCUGCAGAUGAUUGGUGGCAGAGUCACUCUACUUGUGGUGUAUUACAGAAUGAUUGUAGUGUUUCAUUGAAGGGGAUUCUCUACCAUGCUUGGAGUUGGUCAAGUGUUGGAGGCGGAGCUUUGGUGCCGUCUCAAGGGUUUGGGAUUGAUUGGGUCGCAGGUCUCAGCUUGACUCCAACCUAUUGACAUUCUUCAUCCUCUCUACGUUAUUGUCAAGAAUUUUCAGGUUAUUGAAGAAGGAUUUGCUUUAUGGAACCAAACAAGCUUGGAGACAACUUGGCUGGGUUAGGGCAUGAUUCUAAUCCUGGUUGCAGAUUCUUCAAUGUCCGUAUUUCUGUUAGAAAGUGAUUUCUCCAGCUCUGCUGAUAUUAGUUAGUUUUUCCCCCCUUCUUCUGGCUUUUGCGAACCCGUACAUUUCCUCAUGUAUUGGUAGCAGUUGUUUUAUUAGCUAUCUGUACUACAGUAGCAAUAGUAGUCAUAUGUAAACAGCUUCAACUUUAUAAUAUUAUUUUUCUUUUUCUGAAUUCUGAAAAAACGAAGUUAUGCUAGCA